ACGCCCUCAAGGGCUGGUGGGCCCUGGCCUGGCUUGUUAAUGCCCUAUCUUGGGUAUUGCUGUGCCAAAAGGGCUGGAGCCUGCUGCCUGUCCUUUGCACAGUGCAACCAGAUGGUCACAGUGCUGGGCAGGGAACAGUUAGGUUAGGAUAGGAUGCAAAGUGACACAUGAGGAGGCAGAACAGGAACAGCUUGUGAACUUCUCCUGUUUGUGGGAUUAACCACAUCCACACUAGCAGAUUAGGGUCAUUAACAUAGCCAUUAAAGAAGGGAGAGUCCCACUGUGAACAGUGACAGGUGCUUCACACAGUCAGGUGCUUGCCCCAGUGAUGGAGGCUGAGAUAGCUAUGGUCACCGCGGUGCAGACAGCUCCAGCACAGGGUGAGCCAUCACCCUCCCUGCUCCUUUCCUGCUGCUGGAAAACCACUCACAGUUUGAACGUGUUCAAGGAUGAGAGCCUGGCCCGCUGUGCUCCGUGUCCCUGCUCGGUCAUUAUCUCCUUACGUGAACUCAGCUUCCUGAGCUGCAAAAUGGGGGUAAUGUUUACUUUGCUUGCAGGGGUGUGGAGGAAUUAUUAAUUAAUGUUUAUGAAGUGCUUUCAGAUCUCUGAAUGAGAAGGGUGAGAUAGGCAGCAAGGAUUCAUGAGGCAGCUGCAAGGAGUUGUGAUGAAUUAUUGUGAUUAAAAGGUAAAUAAUUGUUAUUACUGCAUCAUAAGCAGAUACAGCCAUCAGCCCUGGACAACCUGAUCUCCAGCUCUGUUAACUUCUUUUUCCUCCUUCUUCCCAAGAGCAGUGCCUGCACAGCAUUGCUGCAGCAACCACACAGCCUCUCUGUGAUGUAGAACCUCGAUCGGUGGAAGGCUGAGCACUGCCUUCAGAAGGGCUAUAAUAACCCCAUAAAUAAAUCAGAUGAGGAUGAGCCAUCUGGCCCAGCUUCUGGUGAGGAAGAGAAGCGUGCUGCAGCCGGCCAUCAGCUGCUGCAGAGGGGCAGCUCCAGCCUGCAUGGCUGCCCAGAGCUCUCUUCUGCAGCAGCUAGGGUGGGCAAGAGGCCAUUCCUUUGCACUGAACUAUUUUCAGGAGCAGAUCCCUGUCGGGAGCAAACACACUGCAAACUGGCUCAGCCAGCUGCUUGAACGCCUGUUUCAGGUAAAGAAGCGUGAGUGCACAGAAGUGAUCCUGACCUUUGUGAGUCUCACCUCACAGCUGGGUUGGGAUAAGUACCUGCGUGUGUGCCCCUAGCAAACGUGAAACAAAAAGCGUUUGCUCAGAAAGGCUGAAAUCACUGGCCAGACCUUGCACUGGAAAUAGGUUAAGGUGCAGGCAGGCAGCUAGAGACAUGCAGGAACUAGAACCUAUGCCUGCUUUCCCAUGCUUUCUGCCCAGGUCAGACUUGGGCUGAAAGCAGUCUUUAGGUUGUUUAGCCAUCUCUGCCUUCCCCAGCCCAGCUGCUUUGAAACCAAACCAAAUGUGACCUGAUUUAGAACAGCUUGGGUAAUGUGAACCCGGCCUUGCACCAGCAGGUUUUUCCUGUUCUGGCUUCCCUGCCUCUGUUUGCACAGAGAGGGCACCCAAGCCUGCAGGAGCAGCUGGGGAGGAGCACACCUUCCACCCUUUGGUCCACCUUUUCCUGCUUUUUCCCAGCCCAUUUGCUGCACCUCAGUGGCCACCUGUCAGUGUGCACUGACAUAAAUCCCUGUAAAUAGCUACAGCCCAGACCCACAUCUACCGCCCCCCCCCCCGUCCUUGCAAUGCUGGAAGUAGAAGCACAGAAUCAUUAAGGUUAGAAAAAACCUUUAAGAUCAUCAAGUCCAGUCAUCAACCCAUCACCACCAUGGUGCGCUGGUGCAAGUAACUGAAGCAUGCAUGCAGACUUCAGUUCAACAGGACAAUCACAGCGUUCCUGAAAUAGAAAUACCAUCCAACAGAUGCACAUUCAGCAUGUAUCUUCCUCUCUAUUGGAAAAUGAGACCCCCAAGCUCAUGGAGAAAUCUCUUGGAGAAACUCACCACACAAGAAUCAGGAGGAGACGUGGAAGAACCGGUGGGUUCACAGCUGGAGUGGGAGCUUGGGGACAGGAGGCACAGAAAGCUCUGCCAGUGUUUGUCGAGAACAACUGGGUCAAAAUGGAGGUGCAUCUAAAGAGGAGCUACCUACUGGCUUCUCCCUUUGCAAAUCUCUUCCAUGGCCUGAGCCUUGUGCUGCAUCACCGAGGCCUGGGGACAAAACAUGUGGCACCUCUGACCCACUGUGGGCACCCACUUCCUCCCAAGGGAUAUUUCCUGACUCUCCAGCUGACUUGCACAACAAGUUUUUCCUCUGCCCAGGUGUUGGUGUCAGCCAUUCUCCAGCCAAGAGGAUGCUAUGCUGGGACAGGAGCAGGUGAUGAGCCUCAUAAUUAGGGGUGGGUACCACCCACCACCUCGUCCCUCAUUUAGCACACGAGAUUUAUAGCCAAGUCUGUUUAGAUUGCCCAUACAACUUAUCGUUAGCACAUAUGGCUUUUCAUCUUCAAAGCACUUCAGCAGGUGUUUUGCAAGCUUCUCCCAUGCCCUCAUGUGACAAAGGUAUUAUAUCCCUGUACAGUAAAGAGAAUGGAAAGGGGUGAAGAGAAGCUAAAUAGUUUUGGACACUCAGCCUUUCAGUCCUGUGCUCGGCCUUCACCUGCACCUUGCUGCUUCCAAGGCUUGCAAAUAGCAUUGAGGAGCUUUGUCCUGUUGUUUCGAGAACCUUGCUGCAGCUUGGCACUAGUUAACCAGCCCAAAACAUUGGCAUGCAAAUACGCACACCAUUUUACUUUUCAUUAAUGUAGAAAAUAGCACACAUUCACCUUAACAGCAACACAUAAAAGCCAUGCAUGACCUGGGAGACAUCUUGUGCCAACAUAGGGUGUUGGGAUGAGAACAGCUUAAACUGUUCAUCCCAUCUAUAACCAUUGUGGUGGAGCAGCUUUGGACGUGCCAAUGGAGCCACACGAACCUGUGCCAGCAAUUCAGUUGUAUUGAUUUAAACUCAGAAAUAUCUGUUGCAUAAAAUUCAUAUAACUUUAUGGUUGGCACUCCCAGCUUCUGGGCCGCAAGUUCUCCCCAUUGCCAGGACAACCUUGUACUAAAGAUUGCUGUGCUAUUUUUUGCUUCUCUCUCGCUAAACAGGGAGAGGAGAGCUCAUUAAAAAGGAGAGAAGGACACACUGCACGUCUUUGUCUCUUAAUAAUGAAGCCAAAUGAAAAGGCCCUAGCAGAUGGAUAAUGAGCCACUUAAGCAGGGCAUUCCCAGCCCCAGCAAGGAGGACCAGGGCUGGGUGAGGCCUCCCAACUCCACAUCCAUUCAAUGAGCAAUGUCCCGCAGAGCCCAAACACGUGUGGAGAUGGCUGGCACCUGGGAAAUCUUGCCGAAGGGCCACCAGGGCUCCAAUAAGUGACCACGCAAACUCCCUCAGAUCCCACAUUCAUUAAAAGGAAAAUGAAUGCCUGCUUUUAAUUACCUCGUUAAUGAUGUCUGCUCUUGUAGGAAGCAGGACUCGUGCUGCUGGUGCCCAUGAAGAAAGUAGAAGCUUCUACUGAGUGUUUCUGUGGGUGAGCUCUGUCAGAGCACCUCCUCUGGGCCCCACCAGUGUCCAGCAGAGCUUGGGUUGUGCUGUCUGGAGGGCACGUCAGCCUCUGCUUCCCCUUCCUCCCCUCAGGACCUCUUCUCAGUAUGCUUGUAGGUGCUCUGGAGCUGAAUAUAUCUCCUUAUUUUUGUAAGAGUUUGAAAAGAAGGAAAAGAAGACUAUGAAGAGAAGGCACGGGCUGACAGACGCACGGCUCUUACCACAAGUGCAUCUCUCCUCUAAGAAAGCAAGAGGAAAACAAACAGAUCAAGCAUUAUUUUUCUUAGUAAGGAGAAGGGGUAAUUUCCUGGCCCUGAUUCAGCACUGCCAUGUAGAGACAAUGACUCCCCUGUCAUCACCUCCCAGCUUUGCCUUUGUAACGCUGCUAAUGGCAGCACACCUCUAGGGAAGGUGCAAUUACCUGGGAGUUCACUGCCUCAUCGUUAGCAAUUACCCAGUUGUCCUGUGUCCAAUUAACUCACCCUAAUCACCACAUCAUCACCACAGACCUAAAACAGCUACUUUUCUGCAGUCACCAGUAAAUACCAUCAUUAAGCACCUGGGAGUGAAUUUGCUAUUAGCUCCACAGUGAUUAUUUGCUGCAAACAUGCAAACUGAGCCGGGCUGUUAUAAAACAUGAUCCCAGUCAAAUAAAAUCCUAUGCUGUUAGUGAGCAGCAGGCAGUGCUUAUUCCAUAUGACACCAGGAAGGCCAAGUUGUUUAAAGGUGAAGUCCUGUCUUGCUGAGGCAGACUUUUAGUCCAUCUGCUGGUUCACCAGCACUGCUGGGAGAUGUGGAGAGCUGUGUUUAUUCCUGCUUAUAGCAGAGUCUUACAGGCAAAGCCUGAAAGGCUGUAAGUGCUCUAUGGAAUUGUAAACUUCAGCAACACUGCACGAUGCACGACUUUGGUGUUUGUUUCUUUUUUUAACUGACAACCUGUGCUAGACAUUCCCAUUUAAAGAGUGAAAAAUGAUCAGUGUAACAGGCAUGACCCUUCCCCUUACUCUAACCUCCAGCUCAUUGAAGGAUCACCAGGUCAGAGGGCUGCUGUGAUAAUCCUACACCUCCAGGUCACCUUUUCAGCCCCAGGUCAGAACUAACCAGGGCUUUGUUUCCCUUCAUGAGGCUGCUUGAUGUUUGCGACAUUGAUUUGAGGUCUCUGCGUGAGAAAUCCUUGUUACAAAGGGUGUGACAAUAAUCAGUGUCAUUAUCAAUGGGUGUCCUGUUCCUGGAGACAGGAACUGGAUGGGGCUCUGAGCACCUGAUCUAGUGUAGGUGUCCCUGUUCAUUCCAGGGGAUUUGGACUAGAUGAUCUCUAAAAGUCCCUUCCAACUCAAACGAGUCAUGAUCAAGGCAUGGACCUGAGAUGGAGCAGAUGCCCUGAGCUCUUGGCAUCAGCCUGAUGGCUGCAAGCUGUGGUGCUGCUCAUGUGUCCUCCCCCACAGAAGCCAGGGAAGGUUUUCCAGCUCCCAGGAGAAGAGCUGAGUUAUGGGCUGAGUGCAGUGGAGGGAGGAACCAUGGGAUCAGCGAUAUGUAGGGCUGUGCCUGACUCACCCCUCCAUUAAACCAUCUCCAAACACUCAUUUCACUCCAUUAAUUAGCUGUGCCAGUGUAGCUAUUAAUGAGAUGUUGCUCAGAUGUUCCAGUGCUCCUCUGCUCUCCAUUGGCAUCAGCUUUUACAAGAGCCCCAGUGCUGCUGGUAGGACCAUGACUGUGAUCUUGGACACAGAUUUCUCCAUUGAGUGAAUGGAGGGAAAGAAGGGACAUGACCUUCAUGGAAAGCUGUAUUUUCUGUCUCCAGAAAGAAGACAUCCAGGCCUCCAUUAGGUGCAUCAUCCCAAUUACAGGGCUGGGGGCAGUUAUGAGGCAGAGCUGCAGCCCUACAGGAGCAUGGCGGGGAAGCAGCUUUGCAUCCAGAUUCAUCCCUUCUUGCUUUUUCAGGUCUACUCUGCCAGUUUUUGUCAGUGCUGAUAUCUCAUGCUCAGCCAUGCAACACCCCACACAUUGAUAGGGCUGUGUCUGGAGGACUGAUUUCUCUUGGUUUCUUCUUUGGGAGCAGCCCCAAAUCCCCAGCCAGCCACUACCAGAGGUGGGAGUCAGAAAUAGCCAUUCCAGGAGGGCCUGGUCUCCCUCUGGGUCUGGAAAAAGGCCCAGCAUGUAUUGAUUCAAUUCCUCAUUUAAUGCAUGUUUAUGUGGAGCAAUUCAGAACUGCUCUAUCCAUUCAAACUUACGUAGUAACAUGAGCCACAAAAUGCAGGAACUCGCUCAGUCCUUCUUAGAAGAUCCAUUAUUCUGAGUCAGCUUCUAAGGAGCAGCAAUAAAAUCACCUUGGCCUGAUCUGCCAUUAGUCUGAGGGCAGAAAUUGUUGGCAUCGUGUUUAAUGCCUCCAACAAACUCAUGCCCAUCUCUGUAUACUCCCCGCGUCACCCACUCCUGGCCAACACAAUCACAGAAUCACUAAGGUUGGAAAAUACCACUAAGAUCAGCAAGCCCACUCCUCAACCCACACCCACCACGUCCAACGACCAUGUCCCUCAGUGCCACAUCUACCCUAUUCUUGGACACCUCCAGGGGAGGUGACUCCACCACCUCCCUGGGCAGUUUGUUUCAAUGCAUCGCCACUCCUUCGGAGAAUAAAUUUUUCCCAAUAUCCAACCUGAACCUCCCCUGAUACAACUUCAGGCCAUUACCUCUCACCAUAGGUCUCUGGUUGGUAUAAUUCCUUCUUCUACAUACUUUUCUUUCCCAUAAUAUUUCUUCCUCAGACGCGUAGGCCUGGGUUGAAAGGCCGGGCGGUGAGGACCUUGGUACCAGAUCUCCACCUUUUUCUCCUUUUGUUCUCACACCUCAGCAUCCUGCUGAGAAGAGAUCAUGUUCCACUGCCUAUGCUGCCACCAGGCUUGAUUUUGGGUAGAAAACCUGCAGCUUUAGGAUGCCUUCAGCUGUGACACCUGAAGUCAAUACAUUCUCCUGGAAAUGUUGGUCCAGACCUGGUCAUGUUUAAAGGAGGAAAGAAGAGGGAAAUCAGGUGACCCUACAUCUCCUGGAGGGGAGUAGAAUUGGCUUUAGGCUUGCUGAAGGGUUGUCACAUUCCAGCUGCCAAGAGGGAGUGAAAUGGAAGCAUUUGGGUGCAAUGGAUUAGCAAGGCAGAGAGGUGCUGAAGGGUUAAAGGGUUUUAUAGAAGCACAGAAGAGACUAAAGGGAUUGGAAAGCAAAAAUCCAAUUAGGAGAUCUAACAGGAAGAAGCCCAGCCCUGAAACAAUAAAGAUAAUGGGUUUAGCUGCCAAAGGAAAGAUGAGAAUGGAGUAGGGAGAGCAGAUUUGUGGCGGGGCCAAGAGGAAGGAAAAGUUGUUGCAAAAUGAUUGGGUUUUGAAUUAAGAAUUAUUUGUCAAAGCAGAGUCACAUUACAGCCUCACCUGCAGCAAAGUUCAUCUCAGGACCCGAACUGUGCCAUCAAUCCUUGCUAUUGUAGCAGGUUGAAUGUCCUCAAAGAAGUUUGAAGUUGGAGCCCAUCACUCACUUAAUCCUGCACAUUGUGCCAUGAGAGAACUGACCUCAGCAAGAUAUGUCUGCUUGCUAUUCUGUAUUAUCUUGCCAAUGCAUUUUGCCAAGGAUCAAAGCAAAGGAAAGGAGCUGUGGUGUAGAUGUGCUCUGAGGCAUGCCAUGUCCCUAAAGGCCCCUUUCUAAAGGCCAAACGUAACAGAACAACACAGAGAGGGAGCGAGGAGCUGUCAAAGGUCUGGAACAGCUUCCCCACAAGUAUGGGUUGUGCAUGUCAGUAUGGAAAAGACAUGACUUAUGACUGUGAAGUCAUGCAUGGCCUAGAGAAGGCUGGUGAGGAUUGGCCUGCUUCUAUGAUUGUCUUUCCAGUUCAAGAAGUGAGGUCAGCUUCAAGAGGACAGAAGACAGACCUGGGUUGCUCCUUGCUGAAGGAUGCUGCUAUUUGCAGACAUUUAGAGAGGUUCAAGGAAAGCUCAUGGGGCAACAGUCAUCAGAGUUAAUAAAUAGAGACACGUUGGGUUUAGGAAGAAUUUGGGGCUGUGCUCUUGCUUGUAUUAGUGAGGAGUGUAGGGAGCACUUGGGCUCUGCCCAGGUGGACCUUAAACCUGGGAGAGAUGAGAAAUGAGAAGUAUGGAAGAGGCAAGGCCCAUGGAUGAGAAAUGUGUGGGAAAUUAUGGGCUGCCAAGCAAUGUGCCCUUGGAAGCACCUGCUGUUCUUUGAACACUCUCCAGGACACUGGUUGGCCAGCCCUAGAGACUUCAGGAACUGCGACUGAAGGAACUGGGGAUGUUUAGUCUGGGGAAGAGGAAGCUGAGGGGAGACCUUAUUGCAUCUCCUCCAAUAUCUGAAAGGUGCUUACAGCGAGAGUGGGGUUGGUCUCUUCUCACUGAUGACAGAUGACAGGAUGAGAGGACCUCAAGUUACCCCAGGCAAGUUUAGGUUGGAUAUCGGGAAACACUUCUUUA